rnacentral:rRNA from 1 species
UACGUAGGGGGCAAGCGUUGUCCGGAAUCAUUGGGCGUAAAGCGCGUGUAGGCGGCUUGGUAAGUCCGCUCUGAAAGCCCGGGGCUCAACCCCGGGAGGCGGGUGGAUACUGUCAAGCUCGAGUCCGGAAGAGGCGAGUGGAAUUCCUGGUGUAGCGGUGAAAUGCGCAGAUAUCAGGAGGAACACCAAUGGCGAAGGCAGCUCGCUGGGACGUGACUGACACUGAGGGACGAAAGCUAGGGGAGCGAAAGGG